GGGCCUGUAGCUCAGCUGGUUAGAGCGACGGUCUUAUAAGCCGUAGGUCUGGAGUUCGAAUCUCCACAGGCCCA
rnacentral:tRNA from 1 species